rnacentral:misc_RNA from 1 species
GAUGAAGAACGUAGUGAAAUGCGAUAAGUAAUGUGAAUUGCAGAAUUCCGUGAAUCAUCGAAUCUUUGAACGCACAUUGCGCCCCCUGGCAUUCCGGGGGGCAUGCCUGUCCGAGCGUCAUUUCUGCCCUCAAGCACGGCUUGUGUGUUGGGUGUGGUCCCCCCGGGGACCUGCCCGAAAGGCAGCGGCGACGUCCGUCUGGUCCUCGAGCGUAUGGGGCUCUGUCACUCGCUCGGGAAGGACCUGCGGGGGUUGGUCACCACUAUAUUUUACCACGGUUGACCUCGGAUCAGGUAGGAGUUACCCGCUGAACUUAAGCAUAUCAAUAGGCGGAGGA